AGAGAUAAUGAGAAGAAGAACAUGAACUAAGCUUUGGAAAAAAUAGUCUGAGUUAUUAGGCAUUAACGAUAGAGGCAUCGGAAACGAGAAAAAGGAUAUUUUAGGAAUAAAAUUAAGAGAUCACUUUACCGGUUGAUGAAAAAAUCAUUUAGCCAUCUCCUGGAUGGAUAAAAUUUUUCUCCUAUUUCAUGGGUAAAUGCCACCCAUGGAAAAUAAUUUACCCAUCUUGAAAUCUGUGAGAACAUGGGUAAG
rnacentral:lncRNA from 1 species